ensembl:lncRNA
UUUUCAUGUGACCUUUUCUGCAGCUGUUGAGAACAGAAUAUGCAGACAUACCUUUGAAUGCUUCCACAUGUUCCACGUGUGAACCGGUGCGCACUCGUGCACCAGACAAGCAGAAUACAGCAACACUCACUUGUACAAAUAGGCUCUUGAUGCUUGUGGGCUGAGUUAAGGCACUGCCUUCUCCAUUGUUGCUUUUUGGGUAAAUGCAUCCACCAAGAGUGCAGAACUGCUGAGGUGAGCAGAAUGACUGCCUUGGAGAAGCUGUAUGUUCUGACAUGCACUAGCUGCUCAGUGUUGGCUUGGUCCCACACGGUCUGCCUUCCUUCCACCAAACCUCGUGUUCUGCAAGUGCAUCUAACCCUCCCACUCGUAACUCCAGAACUCUGUCUGGGAGAAGCCUCAGGAGUUGCAGAAGACCUUUGCUUUGGGGCUUCCAGGCAUUUAUUCUGCUCAGGCAGCUUGUUCUUGCAACCAGACUUCCUUGAUGUCCUUCUCUCAGUGAGGGAAUCACAGAACUCCAUUUGUGAGAAGCUGACAAGCCCUGGCAUACUUGGAGAGACUGAACAAAGAAUCGGCAUCAUGCCCUCCCAGCCUUCUUGGAAGACAGAUCUCCUGGAUGAAGUGACCUGAAAUUCAGAGUUAAAGAAGCUUUGUAUUCCAAAGUCCAAAUCAAAUCAAUUGUAUUAAAAACAAAACAAAAAACAAAACAAAACAAAACAAAAAAAAACCACACCAACCAACCAACCGAACAAGCAAAACCCAAAAAUAAACAGAGAACAACAAAAUCACCAUAAAUAAAUACAUUUUAAAAGCCCUCUGACUUCUGAGAGGUUUGUACAGGUUCAAAUUAUAUGCCUGGAACUAGAUUUUGGUGUUUGUACCAAUCUGUUUACUUGAAAUUUAUUAUUCAGUUAUUAACUUUCUCUGUGGGCUUUGUAAAAUUUGAAGCUGUGUGUGGUCCCUGGUACAUAUGGGAGACAGAGCUGGAACACAAACUGUGUUUGUAGCUGCAUUUACUGUCUUCAGUGGACAUUUGCAUUACACUACCGCUAUCACAGGCCUUUUCCCAGUCCUGCUACACCUAGCUGUACGUGUCAUGAAAAAAGACUGUGCUAGUCAGUUGCAGAGGUAUUCACACAAACUGACAGAGCUCAACUUGUUGAUUUCUCUUUCUCCUUCCUAGCCUUCUGUAUCGAGUUAAUCUGUAGCAGAUUAACUCCUGGCUCAUAAAUGGAGACUGGAUUUGAAUCAGAUGUCACACGGUAUCCAUCAAAGAUUUAAGGUUAUCUUUCAUAAAUUUCUUGUAUUCUUGUAUUCUUGUAUUAAGAAAGAUUUUGCCUAGAUGGUGCUUGCUGCUGCUUUCCAAAGCUCCUAGAUGGUCAUUUUAUAAAUCGUGGAUUGUCAAUAACGCCUGAAACAUUUCCACUUGUCUGCAUGAUCUGCUUUUUUACAGACUGCUCAAGCAAAUUGGAAGCAUCAAUCUAGACAGUUAUUAAUUAUUUCUUGGUCCUUUCUGUCAUUUUGUUCAGGGAAGUUAUAAAACUCCUGAUUCUUGGAAUAGCAAGGGCACAGAUACAACUACUUCCUUUCUUUUCUUUUCUUUCUUUUUUUUUCCUUGUAAUAUUCCAAUGCUUUCCUAGUAUUUAGAAUCAGGGAUCAGCAUAUAUUAAAUAUCAUGUUUCCAGGAAAAGCGUCCUUGCUAAAGUAGUUUCUCUUCCUAUACAGACCUACUUUCUCAGUUGCUGUUAAAUUCCAUUCCAAAGGUUCCGUAAACUUUGUGGAUGAUGAUACCAUGUUUCUUGGUGACCUACUGAAACAAGGGAAGUUUGCAUGCACUGGCAAGCUUUGUAUCAUGCAGGAUAUUGCUGCAAGUAUGACGAUAAAUUGGUAAUAUUUUGUGGUAAUAAAUUAUUAUGGUACACUAGUUGCUGCAGUGUGAUAAGCUACAGCUUCACAGGUACCUGAAGGGUUGAAGGGUCAACACUAGACACUUAUGCAGCAAAUUCUGCCUAUUGAAAAACAAACAAACAAACAAAAAAGGCAGGAAUUUCUGGGAUGCCUCAGCUUUUUGUUCACUAGACUUCACUUAAAAGUGACUAACUUUCACCUUUCUGUUUAGGAACCCUAUUGUCAUAAAGUAUUGCCCAAUACGUGCUUGAUAACAAUGUAGUGAGGAGCCAAUGCAAAGGAGAUAACCAAAAAGGAAGAAAAAGGAAAAAAAAAUCUGCUUUUACAGUCAAUGUUCCUGCAUUCUGAAAUGUUUUGAUGGUAGAUAGCUUAAGAAGAAGGCAAGAAGCCAACUGUUGACUUACAGUACUUAGCAACAAGUUAGUGCUUGGAGGGAAUGUGUCCUGCCUUUGGAGCAGCUGACUUAGUUGGGAGUUUCUGAAAAGUGUGCCUGUAUUAUAGCUAGACCUUGGGUACUUGGCAGUGACAGUAUGAUGAAACUGUUGGCAUCCUUUGUGACUUACGUAUAUUCUAUGACUUGACUUUUUAAACUUCACUCUAUGAGGGGGCUGUAAGGAUAAAAGGGGGCAGUGAAUAGGUACAUGUAUGGAAGGGAACCUGUCAGGGCACUACGAUGCUUGCUGUGGAAGGAGUGGGAAAAUUGCUGCUCUCUGCAGGAAGAUCAUUAGCCUCUGGAAAUGUGCUUUUAGUCUCUCUCAGUGCUCCUGGUUUCAGGAAAAGGUUUAGGUUUCUCUAUAGUUGGUGACUAAGAAAGCACUGCAGAAGUAGCUGCUUGGCAAAAUGUAAAGGCCUGCUUCCUUUCUGGCCCUCCAAGAAUUUGGCUGUUCUAGAGUUAUGAUAUCAGAUUGUCUGUGAUGGUGAGUAUAUGCUUCUACCACUUAAACUGUGGAGAUACAGAAGUUCUUCCUUACCAUCAUUUUACUGUUAACCUUCUCAGCUGUGACUGUGGCAGGCAACCCAACAGUUCCUAUUUAGAAAAAAUAUAAAAGCCUGUGGUAAGCAGGGCAGUUACUUAUGAAAGUGGAAUAUUCUGUUUGUUUUUUGUUGAUUACUCACUUCAAGCUUAUUUAGGAUAUACUUUUUAUUCUGAAUUUAUCCAGGUUGUCAAAAGGUUACUCAAACACAUGGCUGCCAAAAUGUAGAAUGACCCUUUAGACAUGGCCACACAACCAUGUCUGGAACUUAGCAUAUGAUAGAAUCUACAGCACUGAAACUGUUUGUAAAUCAUGAAAAUAGAAAUCGGAGGCUGCAGAAAUAUACAAAAGAAUCCCCUCUCCACACUCAAAGGCUUUAGUGAGGAUGUGUUGAAAUACUAUCUCAAGUCAGUAUUUACACAACACUCGGAGUUCUUAUAGGAUCCUCCGCCAGGGACUCAAAAACAGUUAGUACCUAGUGUCAAUAAACGUCCACUCAAACCCCAAUCUGGGCAAGGUAUUCUGUACCCUUCACAAGCCACAGAGGCUCUUGUGCUGAUGUGAUUGAUGUUAAGGUAUCUUUCAAAAACCUGUUGGGGAGUGUCCUAUUGGAUCUGAUAUACCAGGACACUCUCUACUUCGGAAAAGAGGCACCAGAAGAGCUGCCAGCAUCUGGAUCAACUGCCGGCACCUGGCAGCUGGUGGGACAGGGUGGCAGGCAGAGGCAGAGGUAAGCAUGCAAUGACAGCAAGAAGCGUGCUGCUGCAAAACAACACAUGCAAUGGUCAGCCCGCUUCUGCUCUGGG